UACGGAGGAUCCAAGCGUUAUCCGGAUUUAUUGGGUUUAAAGGGUGCGUAGGCGGCAGAUUAAGUUAGAGGUGAAAUUCCGAGGCUCAACCUUGGCACUGCCUCUGAUACUGGUUUGCUAGCGAGUAGAUGCUGUAGGCGGAAUGUGUGGUGUAGCGGUGAAAUGCAUAGAGAUAUGGAGGAACACCAGUGGCGAAGGCGGCUUCCUGGUCUGCAACUGACACUGAGGCGCGAAAGCGUGGGGAGCAAACAGG
rnacentral:rRNA from 1 species